rnacentral:lncRNA from 1 species
GUUUUGCUCAUGUGCAUUAAAAAUAAUAAUUCAUGAUUUUCUUAAAACAUGUAAAUGUUUUUGUCUGUUUUUUUGUGCAUAUGAUAUCUACUGACCAGGGGUCAAAUCAUUGGAUAAAAGCACAUGCGAUGAAGAAUCUCACAUUACUCGUAUGAAGUGUGUUAUCUCCCUUGAUUAUCAGGUAUUCCUGUAGACCAGAGUGAUAUUACAUAAAAAAGACUAUAUUGUGUCAUGUUUACUUACAAUUUAAUAAUAUUAAAAA